rnacentral:rRNA from 1 species
UGAGGAAUAUUGGUCAAUGGAGGCAACUCUGAACCAGCCAUGCCGCGUGCAGGAAGACUGCCCUAUGGGUUGUAAACUGCUUUUAUACAGGAAGAAACUUAGUUACGUGUAACUAACUGACGGUACUGUAAGAAUAAGCACCGGCUAACUCCGUGCCAGCAGCCGCGGUAAUACGGAGGGUGCAAGCGUUAUCCGGAAUCAUUGGGUUUAAAGGGUCCGCAGGCGGUCAAUUAAGUCAGAGGUGAAAUCCCAUAGCUUAACUAUGGAACUGCCUUUGAUACUGGUUGACUUGAGUUAUACGGAAGUAGAUAGAAUAAGUAGUGUAGCGGUGAAAUGCAUAGAUAUUACUUAGAAUACCGAUUGCGAAGGCAGUCUACUACGUAUAUACUGACGCUCAUGGACGAAAGCGUGGGGAGCGAACAGG